rnacentral:rRNA from 1 species
UACGAAGGGGGCUAGCGUUGCUCGGAAUCACUGGGCGUAAAGCGCACGUAGGCGGAUUGUUAAGUCAGGGGUGAAAUCCUGGAGCUCAAUUCCAGAACUGCCUUUGAUACUGACGAUCUCGAGUCCGGGAGAGGUGAGUGGAACUGCGAGUGUAGAGGUGAAAUUCGUAGAUAUUCGCAAGAACACCAGUGGCGAAGGCGGCUCACUGGCCCGGUACUGACGCUGAGGUGCGAAAGCGUGGGGAGCAAACAGG